UCAGUUUGUUAUGUAUUUAUUCUGUUUUACAAGCAUCAUUCGUACCAACAUUCAUCGAUUUUCAAUACUAAGUUUGUCCGUUUUUUUCAAAAACAUUUUUUUUUUUUUUUUUUACAAAGACAUAAAUAUAUGAUAGAAUACAAUACAGUAUAAACUGUAUAAAAUACAAAAUAAAAUGGAUAUACUUAUUUAAAAUGAUAAUCACAAAAGAGACGAAACCAGAAAAUGGGAUCUUUUGACAACGAGGCAAAAAACACCAGCAUGAACUUAAAACAGCUGAACACCAAUGAUAUUAUUGUUGUCCGUCUCAAAACCGUUCCCCCUCUGUCGUACACUAGUUUACAGUACACUAGUUUAUAGUGCACUAGUUUAUAGUGCACUAGUUUACAGUACACUAGUUUAUAGUGCACUAGUUUACAGUACACUAUUUUAUAGUGCACUACAAGGGGAAAAAAAACGACAUCAUCGGAGACGCAGCUAAUGGCUAUGUCAGAAAUGGGCGUCGCCGGAGACGCAGCCAAUGGCUAUGUCAGAAAUGGGCGUCGCCAGAGACGCAGCCAAUGGCUAUGUCAGAAAUGGGCGUCGCCGGAGACGCAGCCAAUGGCUACUUCAGAAACUACAUCACCGGAGACGCAGCCAAUGGCUACAUCAGAAACUACAUCACCGGAGACGCAGCCAAUGGCUACAUCAGAAACUACAUCACCGGAGACGCAGCCAAUGGCUGUGUCAGAAACGGCACCCUAUUCCCUAUAUAGUGAACUCCUUUUGACCAGAGCCCUACAGGGCCCUUCGUAGGGAAUAGGAUGGCAUUUUGAACGUAGACAUUAUGUAUAUUAGGUAAGUACGUACGCAGGUCGCUUUUGGGUCCAAAUUUUGUUGUUUUUUUGGGGGGGCCUGAACAACCAAACUACGGAAAGCUGGAAGGCACAUAUCUGAGGAAGCAUGAGACCUUCAGAUGAAGGGAAGUGUCCCCAACAGCACCCUAAUUCCCUUACGGUGCACUACCGUUUGACCAGAGCCCUUUUGACCACUAUAUAUUUAGUGCACUAGCGCACGAGUGACCUUUUCCAACACCAAAUAGGGAAUGGGGUGCCAUUUUGGAACGUAACCCGGGCAACAGGAAGAAGAGAGACAGUAGAGGGAGGGUGAGGCAGUGAAACAGGAAGAAGGAGAGAGACAGUAGAGGGAGGGUAAGGCAGUGAAACAGGAAGGAGAGAGACAGUAGAGGGAGGGUAAGGCAGUGAAACAGGAAGAAGGGAGACAGUAGAGGGAGGGUUCGAGGCAGUGAAACAGGAAGUGUUAAGGCCAACUGAUCAUCUAAAAACAGGAUGCCCAAACUGUUAUAAGACAUACAACCUGACCAAUAAAAACAGAGUAUUCAAUAUCAACAUGACCAAUCGGUAAUCUUCUGUUGUCAUAUUCCAGCCCACUAAUAUAGAUAUCUGUCACCAAGGUUAGAGAAUUAUAUUAAAACAAGGCAUGUUAUUGACCCCAAGGUUAGAGAAUUAUAUUAAAACAAGGCUUGUUAUUGACCCCAAGGUUAGAGAGAAUUAUAUUAAAACAAGGCUUGUUAUUGACCCCAAGGUUAGAGAGAAUUAUAUUAAAACAAGGCUUGUUAUUGACCCCAAGGAUAGAGAAUUACAUUAAAACAAGGCUUGUUAUUGACCCCAAGGUUAGAGAAUUACAUUAAAACAAGGCUUGUUAUUGACCCCAAGGUUAGAGAAUUAUAUUAAAACAAGGCUUGUUAUUGACCCCAAGGUUAGAGAAUUAUAUUAAAACAAGGCUUGUUAUUGACCAAGGUUAGAGAGAAUGACAUUAAAACAAGGCUUGUUGUCAUCCUUCAUCUUCCUCCAUUAGACAUUGUAGUUAUUAUUAUUAUUAUUAUUAUAAACACAAUAUAUACAUGUAUGUUACAGGAAUAUACAGGGUGUUAAUGCUCCUCAUGUCUCAAUAUAAAUCAGUAUGUUCAAGCAUUCAGGGAGUCGGCGGCUUUGGCUUGCGGAGGGGUUUCAUUACCUAAAACAGGGUGAAAAGUCAAAAAACAGGAACAGGAAAUACAUCACCAUAGAACUAAAGGCCGAUAAAAGACAGAAGAAGAGGUCAAAAAGAAGGUUGACAGUCCAGUGGGCCCAUUGUCACUAGGAUGUACGACUAGGGAGAGGGACCAUAGACUUAGACAGACCUCUAUGGUGCAGCACAUGCUGUCACACAAGACAUUGUCGCACAGGUGCAAAGCAGAGCCCUCUAGCUAGCUCUAUGGGAGAAACAGGCCAGGCUAGGAGAGGCCAGCUCCUCUUAGCUCUAUGGGAGAAACAGGCCAGGCCAGGACAGGAGAGGCCAGCUCCUCUUAGCUCUAUGGGAGAAACAGGCCAGGCCAGGAGAGGCCAGCUCCUCUUAGCUCUAUGGGAGAAACAGGCCAGUUCCUCUUAGCUCUAUGGGAGAAACAGGCCAGGCCAGGACAGGACAGGCCAGGACAGGACAGGCCAGCUCCUCUUAGCUCUAUGGGAGAAACAGGCCAGGCCAGGACAGGCCAGGCCAGCUCCUCUUAGCUCUAUGGGAGAAACAGGCCAGGCCAGGAGAGGCCAGCUCCUCUUAGCUCUAUGGGAGAAACAGGCCAGUUCCUCUUAGCUCUUUGGGAGAAACUGGCCAGGCCAGGACAGGAUAGGGCCAGCUCCUCUUAGCUCUAUGGGAGAAACAGGCCGGGACAGGAGAGCUCCUCUUAGCUCAGAGCCGCCCCACUACAUACUAAAUGGCAGGACUCUGCUCUAUCUAUCUAUCUAUCUAUCUAUCUAUCUAUCUAUCUAUCUAUCUAUCUAUCUAUCUAUCUAUCUAUCAAUCAAUCAAUCAAUUGUUGAUACAUCUCAUCUUCUCCUCCUCCUCUUGAUUGGGGGAGUAACUCAAGAGUCAUUUAGCUUUCACACCCUCUUCCUCUUCCUGGGACACAUCCUGUUUCCAUCCCUCCUCCAUCUCCCUGUCCCUUCCUCUCCCUCAGCCUGCGUUCAUUCCAUCCUCCACCCUCUUCCUCUUCCUCUUCCUGGGACACAUCCUGUUUCCCUCCCUCCAUCAGCCUGCGUUCAUUCCAUCCUCCUCUUCCUCUUCCUGGGACACAUCCUGUUUCCCUCCCUCCCUCAGCCUGCGUUCAUUCCAUCCUCCACCCUCUUCCUCUUCCUGGGACACAUCCUGUUUCCCUCCCUCCCUCAGCCUGCAUUCAUUCCAUCCUCCACCCAUCCCAUCCCGUCACUCGCUGUCUGUCUCCAGGUCUGAAUCGGACCACUGUACCGGGGUCAGUUUUCCGCGUCGCUGUGCGUACUCGAUGACGGCCGUGUAGCAGAAGUAAUACUGAUCCCAGGUCUGUAUACUGAAGGCUCUCUGGGUCCUCAUCCUCCUCACUGUCUCACACACAUCCACCGUCCCAAUGUCCUCCAGCCUGGACAGACAGAUGUCCAGGGUACAGAACGUACCUGAGGAGGGAAAUGAGAGAGAGAGGGGUUAGUGGAGGGAGAGAGGAGAGAAACGAAAGAGAGAAAGAGGGGUUAGAGAAGGAAAAGAGGAGAAGGAAAAGAGGAGGAGAAGAGAGGAGGAGAAGGAAAAGAGGAGGAGAAGAGAGGAGAAGGAGAAGGAGAAGAGAGGAGAAGAGAGACAGAGAGAGACAGAGAGAGAGAGGGAAUACUUCCAUCCAUCUAUCAACGACCCACCUGUGCGUCCGAUGCCUGCGCUGCAGUGUACGACCAGCGGUGGCCCACCUGGGGGCCCCACCCACUCAGCUCCCAGACUCCUCAGCGCCGCCUCCUGCCGCUGCUGCACGUGCUCACGGAAAUCCAACAUGGCCAACGCACACUUGGGCACACCGAAGUCUGGCCAGCUGACAUACAGGUAGUGGGAGACAUCCCUCCUCUCA
ensembl:lncRNA